AUGGUCUUUCCUUGGUGCUGCCCACCCUCCCUGAGGCCCUGGGUCAAGGCAUCAGGCUCCUUACAGAGGCGGGAGUUGUUGGGGAGACGUGACUGGGCUCCCCAGGGGUAUGGGGGUGCUCCAGAGAGGCUGCCGGCCCCUGCGCCUGCGCCCGUCCACCCAUAUGGUUGCCCAGGGAGCCCCCAGAUACGCCCUGAGGCCCUGGUCCUGACCCGGAAAGCCCGGGACUGCCCCUCCCCCAGACCCCUGCAGGCUGCCUUGGCCAGAGUCCCCUGGGCCCAGUGUCAUCCUGCGUCCCAAAUGUCACCUCCUUCAAUUCCACAGGCGCGUCAGGAUCGCUGUGCCCUGCCCAGCCCACGCCCGGGCCCCGGGGAGCCAGCGCCCUGCGCAUGGGCUCCCACGCUGCCUGGCAGGUGGCUGCUGCGGCCUGUGGCUUCUCCCGCCGCCACGAGUUCCUUCGGGCCCCCAGCCCCGUCUGCCCACUGCGCGGUGGCCACACGUUGUAAGCCUGGGCGCCCGCCCGUCCUGCGGCUUCCUGAUCAGGUCGCCCCAGCGGCUGCCUCGGCCCCGCCUGCCGCCGGGAUCCCGGCCUCCUCGGAGGCCCCUUCACCUCACUGUGCCUCUGUUUUCUCAUCUGCAAAGGUGAGUCUGAGUUCCACCAGCCCUUCCGUGGGCUGCUGUGUGCAGACUGCAGGCCCUGCCCCACCUGCUCCUUCCUUGAGCCCCAGACCGCAGAUCGCAGACCGCAGAGCAGGGCCACGUACCAGGCGUGGCAGGAUCAGGAGCCCUGGGGGGGUGAGGCGUGGCUUCUCCCGCUUAGAGGGAAGGACCAGCUGUGCCAAGCCCACGCGUGACUGGCGAAGGGUCCCGGGUCUGGGGAAGCAAGGACUUCAGCACCCAGUCCUGGGAAGGGCCAGGGCGAGGCUGACCCUUCAGCCACCAUGGGACUCUUCAGCCAAAGGAGGCCUUACGCUGUCACAGCCACACUUCCUGCUCGCCCUCCUGGGGCUGGACACUGACCGAGCCUGUCUCGGGACAAACCUGCCCACCCAGAGGCCGAGGCCCCUGAAUGCGGGUCCCAUGACAGGUGACGGGGCCCCAGGUGGCUCCCGGCCGGGUUGCGGGAGGCUGGGACGCUGCAGACCCAUCACAGACCUCAGCGCCCUCGUCCCAGUGCCUGCCCCUCACCGCAGGGACCUGACACCCGGGGCACUCAGCCUGGGUCGGGCACCGAACCUCCCUCCAGGCAUUCCUGCCGAGCCAGCCCCUUUCUAG
rnacentral:lncRNA from 1 species